ACGAACUAGUCGAAGCUUACUCAGAACAGGUCAGGGGUUUAUUAGAUGGAGGAGCGGACAUCCUGCUGGUUGAAACCAUCUUUGAUACUGCCAACGCCAAGGCUGCCUUGUUUGCCAUUGACCUGCUGUUUGAAAAGAGCUAUGAAAGAAAACCUAUAUUUAUCUCAGGGACGAUCGUUGACCGGAGUGGACGUACUCUGUCCGGUCAGACAGGAGAAGCAUUUGUAGUGAGUGUAUCUCACACUAAC